UACGUAGGGGGCUAGCGUUGUCCGGAUUUAUUGGGCGUAAAGAGCGUGUAGACGGCCAGGUAGGUCUGGUGUGAAAACUCGAGGCUUAACCUCGAGAUGUCAUCGGAAACCAUCUGGCUAGAGUCCGGAAGAGGAGAGUGGAAUUCCUGGUGUAGCGGUGAAAUGCGCAGAUAUCAGGAAGAACACCAAUGGCGAAAGCAGCUCUCUGGGACGGUACUGACGCUGAGACGCGAAAGCGUGGGGAGCGAACAGG
rnacentral:rRNA from 1 species